rnacentral:rRNA from 1 species
GCAAGUCGAACGAUAAGCUAGACUUCGGUUUAGUGGACAGUGGCAGACGGGUGAGUAACGCGUGGGAAUCUACCUUUGAGUGGGGAAUAACAAUUAGAAAUGAUUGCUAAUACCGCAUACACCCUCCGGGGGAAAGGCUUCGGCCGCUCUUAGAUGAGCCCGCGUACGAUUAGUUUGUUGGUGAGGUAAAGGCUCACCAAGACUACGAUCGUUAGCUGGUUUGAGAGGAUGAUCAGCCACACUGGGACUGAGACACGGCCCAGACUCCUACGGGAGGCAGCAGUGGGGAAUAUUGGACAAUGGGCGAAAGCCUGAUCCAGCCAUGCCGCGUGAGUGAAGAAGGCCUUAGGGUUGUAAAACUCUUUCGACAGGGAAGAUAAUGACGGUACCUGUAUAAGAAGCUCCGGCUAACUCCGUGCCAGCAGCCGCGGUAAUACGGAGGGGGCAAGCGUUGCUCGGAAUUACUGGGCGUAAAGCGAGCGUAGGCGGUUAAUCAAGUUGGUGGUGAAAGCCCGGAGCUCAACUCCGGAACUGCCAUCAAAACUGGUUAACUUGAGAUUGGUAGAGGAAAAUGGAAUUCCUAGUGUAGAGGUGAAAUUCGUAGAUAUUGGGGAGAACAUCGGUGGCGAAGGGGAUUUUCUGGGCCAAAUCUGACGCUGAGGUUCGAAAGCGUGGGUAGCAAACAGGAUUAGAUACCCUGGUAGUCCACGCCGUAAACGAUGAGUGCUAGACGUUGGGAAUUUAUUUUUCAGUGUCGUAGUUAACGCAUUAAGCACUCCGCCUGGGGAGUA